UACGGGGGGGGCAAGCGUUGUUCGGAAUUACUGGGCGUAAAGGGCGCGUAGGCGGUUCGAUAAGUCAGCUGUGAAAACCAUGGGCUUAACUCAUGGCCUGCAGUUGAGACUGUCGGGCUGGAGUGUGGGAGAGGAGAGUGGAAUUCCUGGUGUAGCGGUGAAAUGCGUAGAUAUCAGGAGGAACACCGGUGGCGAAGGCGGCUCUCUGGACCACAACUGACGCUGAGGAGCGAAAGCGUGGGUAGCGAACAGG
rnacentral:rRNA from 1 species